rnacentral:rRNA from 1 species
UACGGUGAAUACGUUCCCGGACCUUGGUACACACCGCCCGUCAACGCCAUGGAAGCUGGGUGUACCUAAAGUCGGUAACCGCAAGGAGCCGCCUAGGGUAAAACUAGUAACUGGGGCU